AUUGAACGCUGGCGGCAUGCCUUACACAUGCAAGUCGAACGGUAACAGGUCUUCGGAUGCUGACGAGUGGCGAACGGGUGAGUAAUGCAUCGGAACGUGCCCAGUAGUGGGGGAUAGCCCGGCGAAAGCCGGAUUAAUACCGCAUACGACCUGAGGGUGAAAGGGGGGGAUCGCAAGACCUCUCGCUAUUGGAGCGGCCGAUGUCAGAUUAGCUAGUUGGUGGGGUAAAGGCCUACCAAGGCAACGAUCUGUAGUUGGUCUGAGAGGACGACCAGCCACACUGGGACUGAGACACGGCCCAGACUCCUACGGGAGGCAGCAGUGGGGAAUUUUGGACAAUGGGGGGAACACUGAUCCAGCCAUGCCGCGUGCAGGAAGACGGCCCUAUGGGUUGUAAACUGCUUUUGUACCAGAGAAAACCUACUCACGUGUGAGUAGCUGAUAGUAUGGUAAGAAUAAGCAUCGGCUAACUUCGUGCCAGCCGCCGCGGUAACAC
rnacentral:rRNA from 1 species